rnacentral:rRNA from 1 species
UACGGAGGGUGCAAGCGUUAUCCGGAUUUACUGGGUUUAAAGGGUGUGUAGGCGGGCUUUUAAGUCUGGGGUGAAAUCUCCGAGCUCAACUCGGAAACUGCCUUGGAUACUAUUAGUCUUGAAUUAUGUUGAGGUUGGCGGAAUAUAACAUGUAGCGGUGAAAUGCAUAGAUAUGUUAUAGAACACCGAUUGCGAAGGCAGCUAACUAAGCAUAUAUUGACGCUGAGGCACGAAAGCGUGGGGAUCAAAC